rnacentral:lncRNA from 1 species
CUUUAGAUAUUUAACAUUUGUGUUCUGUAACUAAUAAGCAAAUCUCUGCUUUGUCUAUGGAUUGAGCCUAAUGUUAAUGACCAAUAAGUAGCACUUAUAAUAAUGCAAUUUAUGAAUAUUAUUCACUAUACACAAGCAGAGUGGUUGGGACACUAUUAAAGUAAAUGUAAUACAACAUCAUUUAAACUCUGUCAGUAGAGAAAAUUUGAGUGUCCUGC